rnacentral:lncRNA from 1 species
UCGUAGUUCGUGGUAACAAUUUCAAAGUCGGUGAAUUGCUUUUAACAAAAGUUUAAAUGAAAAGGGCACAAAGGGGCAAAAAUCUGAAUGGGAUUGUUAGUUAUUUUUUUUCUUUUUUUUGAAAUUUUAAGUCAAUAUGAUUAAAUUUAUUUACAAAUUUGAUUUAAGAAAGAGUUUGAAAAUCCAAUGGCAUAAGGACAAAGUUUCUAUUUAAAAUAAGGUCUAAGUUCG